rnacentral:rRNA from 1 species
AGUGGGGAAUAUUGGACAAUGGGCGCAAGCCUGAUCCAGCCAUACCGCGUGGGUGAAGAAGGCCUUCGGGUUGUAAAGCCCUUUUGUUGGGAAAGAAAUCCUAUCGGUUAAUAACCGGUGGGGAUGACGGUACCCAAAGAAUAAGCACCGGCUAACUUCGUGCCAGCAGCCGCGGUAAUACGAAGGGUGCAAGCGUUACUCGGAAUUACUGGGCGUAAAGCGUGCGUAGGUGGUGGUUUAAGUCCGUUGUGAAAGCCCUGGGCUCAACCUGGGAAUUGCAGUGGAUACUGGAUCACUAGAGUGUGGUAGAGGGAUGCGGAAUUUCUGGUGUAGCAGUGAAAUGCGUAGAGAUCAGAAGGAACAUCCGUGGCGAAGGCGGCAUCCUGGGCCAACACUGACACUGAGGCACGAAAGCGUGGGGAGCAAA